UACGGGGGGGGCAAGCGUUGUUCGGAAUUACUGGGCGUAAAGGGCUCGUAGGCGGCCAACUAAGUCGGAUGUGAAAUCCCCAGGCUUAACCUGGGAACUGCAUCCGAUACUGGAUGGCUUGAAUCCGGGAGAGGGAUGCAGAAUUCCAGGUGUAGCGGUGAAAUGCGUAGAUAUCUGGAGGAAUACCGGUGGCGAAGGCGGCAUCCUGGACCGGCAUUGACGCUGAUGAGCGAAAGCCAGGGGAGCAAACAGG
rnacentral:rRNA from 1 species